AACCGAGAACUCCUACGGGAGGCAGCAGUGGGGAAUUUUGGACAAUGGGGGCAACCCUGAUCCAGCAAUGCCGCGUGAGUGAAGAAGGCCUUCGGGUUGUAAAGCUCUUUUGUCAGGGAAGAAGGGCAUUAACCUAAUACGUUAGUGUCUUGACGUUACCGAAAGAAUAAGCACCGGCUAACUACGUGCCAGCAGCCGCGGUAAUACGUAGGGUGCGAGCGUUAAUCGGAAUUACUGGGCGUAAAGCGUGCGCAGGCGGCUUUGCAAGACAGAGGUGAAAUCCCCGGGCUCAACCUGGGAACUGCCUUUGUGACUGCAAGGCUAGAGUACGGCAGAGGGGGAUGGAAUUCCGCGUGUAGCAGUGAAAUGCGUAGAUAUGCGGAGGAACACCGAUGGCGAAGGCAAUCCCCUGGGCCUGUACUGACGCUCAUGCACGAAAGCGUGGGGAGCAAACAGGAUUAAAAACCCGAGUAGUCCGACUGAGA
rnacentral:rRNA from 1 species